CUAGUGAGAAGAGAUCUUCCAGGCCAGGCAGCGGGAGGGGGAGCCAGAGCUGGGGCCUGGCUGCCUGCGCUUAUCUGCUCUGUCACCAGCUCCCCAGAGCCGGCACUCUGCCCAUUCCAGGAGGAGAGCAGUUGGUCAAGGACCUAGGAACAGACCCCGUAGGGAGAAAUGGACUGAUGGCUAUUGCUCUCAAGACGGAGGAGCUCUCUGGUAUGGAUGGUCUGAGAGGCAGAAGGAGAGAUGGUAGAGUAAAAAAAAAUAAAAAUAAAAAAAGGUGGGGCAGCCUCUUCAGGUAGGUGGUGAGUGCCUCAAAGGCAAGGCAGGCCGCAGGCUGGUGCACAGAAAAGAAGAACUGAGAACCGGUGGGGAGAACUUGCAGUGCCGGAUUGCAGUGCGCUGCCACACUUCCUCUGUCUCCCCAGUGCUGGAUUGCAGUGCCGGAUUGCAGUGCGCUGCUACACUUUCUAACUCCCCAGUGCCGGAUUGCAGUGCGCUGCUACACUUUCUAACUCCCCAGUGCCGGAUUGCAGUGCCGGAUUGCAGUGCGCUGCCACACUUCCUCUGUCUCCCCAGUGCUGGAUUGCAGUGCGCUGCCACACUUCCUCUGUCUCCCCAGUGCUGGAUUGCAGUGCUGGAUUGCAGUGCGCUGCCAUACUACUUCUGUCUCCCCAGUGCCGGAUUGCAGUGCGCUGCCACACCACACCUAUCUUUUCACCCGGAUGCUGGGGGAUCUGAAUUCAACUCCUUAUCCCUACACAGAGCAGAGUCUCUCAGCAGAGUGGACACAGGCUCUUGAAGCUGUUCUUCAGCCUGCUGACUCCAGGUGCUGGAGAGGAACCCAGGAACCCAGGUCAGGAAGACACAGUUCACUGGAAGAGGGGCCAGGACUGUGCCUGUCUGUCUGCCUAUCUGUCCGUAUACUCACCAGAAGACAGCCAAAUUCCAGGCCUGGCCUGGGCUGUCAGACCGGCAGGGUGGGACUUGCUCCAGAUGCUCCCAGCUGGAGGUUGGUUGGCACCAACAUGGCGUCCUCUUGGGGUUGUCUCGCUCUCUGAAUGCACCAUGGGCUUGGGCCUCUGGACAUUGGCUGUUGGGAUUUUCACUCAGUGCAGACUGACCUUGAACACCCUGUGUAGACGAGAAUGAACUUGAACUCUUGAUACCUUCUACCUCUACCUCCCCAUUGCUGGGAUUACAGGCCAGGGGCCACUACUGUCACGUCCUGUCUGCUCAGCACUGAGGAGGGAACCCAGGCUUUCAUCCCUGGUCCUCGUUCAUUGGGCAGUUGUGAACGCCAGCUGCACCUUCAACCCUGAAAAAUCUAUAAUAGCUGCCUCUUCUGUUGGCUUGCGAGCAGGCUUUCUCCUCAGGAGCCUAUCCUCCCUGGCCUUCCCCCGAGAGCCCUCAGGAUGCAGCCAGAACCUUGGAUGGCUGCUAAAUAAUAAACCAGCCCCCAACAGCACAGCUCCACAGCGACACUUAGUUCCCAGUUGUGGGAAGUUAAGAUCAAGGGUUAGUGAUCAGUGUCCUCCUUGGAAGGAGGGUCUGCCUAGACCCUGCCUCUUAGCUUAUGGACAGUUGUCUAUAGCUUUCCCUAUGUCCCAGUUUCCUCUUCUAAGAACUGCACUCCUACAAGAGCCUGACGUGUGAUCUCAUUUAAAAAGACCACAUUGUCUCCAAAUUCAGUCACUCAGUGAUGUGAUGGGGCUAAGAACAUUAGCAUAUGCCUUCUGCGGAUCUAAUCCCAAAUAACACAACGUGCAGUAAAAAGUGACCGAGUGUGUCAGCCAUUGACUAUCAGUUUUGCAUUCCCUCUCUCCUUUAUCCCCCUCCUUCUUUCCUUCCCUCCCUCCCUUCCUUCCUUCCGCAGAAGACUCAGUUUUGCAGUCCCUCCAUCCUUCUUUUCUUUUUCCCUCCCUCCUCCCUCCCUUCCUUCAGACGCUGUCUCUCCUAGCCUGACAGCUGCGAAUUUGUUGAUUGUCUCAGAGUGGCUUUACCUGACCCUCCUGCCUCUGUCUCUCAAAUGCUGAGACCAUAGCGUCUUCCACCACCCUAGUUUAUGUGGCAUUGUGAACUGAACACAGGGCUUCAUGCACACUGGACAAGCACUUUAUCACCUGAGCUGCAACCCCAGCCCUGUUUGGUUUUGUUUGAGAGAAAGAAUGUCAUUUAGCCCAGGCUAACCUUGAAUUGUGUAGUGAGAGAAAGCCUUGAACUUCUGAUCUUCUUGCCUCCACCUCUCCAUUGCUGGGGUAACAAGCAUGUACUACUAUGCCCAGUUUUUUGUUUCGUUGAGCAUCAAUUUUUUUUCUUUUUGUUUAUUUGUUUUUCAAGAGAGGUUUCUUUGUGUAGCCCUGGCUGUACUGGGAUUUGAUCUAUAGACCAGACUGGUCUCAAACUUGCAGAGAUCCAUGUGCCUCUGGCUCUCAAGCGCUGGGAUUAAAGCAUUGUACCAACACCACCUGAAAUUUAUAUGCGUGUGUGUUUAUUAUUUUUUAAUGUUCAUUGGUGUUUUGCUUACAUGUAUGUCUGUGUGAAUGUAUCAGAAGCCCUAGAACUGGAGUUACAGACAAGU